AUUGAACGCUGGCGGCAUGCUUUACACAUGCAAGUCGAACGGUAACAGGCCUUCGGGUGCUGACGAGUGGCGGACGGGUGAGUAAUGCAUCGGAACGUGCCCAGAGGUGGGGGAUAACGCAGCGAAAGCUGUGCUAAUACCGCAUGUGAUCUGAGGAUGAAAGCGGGGGACCAGGCAGCAAUGUUUGGCCUCGCGCCUUUGGAGCGGCCGAUGUCAGAUUAGGUAGUUGGUGGGGUAAAGGCCUACCAAGCCGACGAUCUGUAGCUGGUCUGAGAGGACGACCAGCCACACUGGGACUGAGACACGGCCCAGACUCCUACGGGAGGCAGCAGUGGGGAAUUUUGGACAAUGGGCGCAAGCCUGAUCCAGCAAUGCCGCGUGCGGGAAGAAGGCCUUCGGGUUGUAAACCGCUUUUGUACGGAACGAAAAGGCUCUGGCUAAUACCUGGGGCUGAUGACGGUACCGUAAGAAUAAGCACCGGCUAACUACGUG
rnacentral:rRNA from 1 species